rnacentral:rRNA from 1 species
GACGAACGCUGGCGGCGUGCUUAACACAUGCAAGUCGAACGGAAAGGCCCUGCUUUUGUGGGGUGCUCGAGUGGCGAACGGGUGAGUAACACGUGAGUAACCUGCCCUUGACUUUGGGAUAACUUCAGGAAACUGGGGCUAAUACCGGAUAGGAGCUCCUGCUGCAUGGUGGGGGUUGGAAAGUUUCGGCGGGUGGGGAUGGACUCGCGGGUUAUCAGCUUGUUGGUGGGGUAGUGGCUUACCAAGGCUUUGACGGGUAGCCGGCCUGAGAGGGUGACCGGCCACAUUGGGACUGAGAUACGGCCCAGACUCCUACGGGAGGCAGCAGUGGGGAAUAUUGCACAAUGGGCGGAAGCCUGAUGCAGCAACGCCGCGUGCGGGAUGACGGCCUUCGGGUUGUAAACCGCUUUCGCCUGUGACGAAGCGUGAGUGACGGUAAUGGGUAAAGAAGCACCGGCUAACUACGUG